rfam:Candidatus Kerfeldbacteria bacterium RIFOXYB2_FTLL_38_14 rifoxyb2_full_scaffold_257, whole genome shotgun sequence.
UUUAUUGAGAGUUUGAUCCUGGCUCAGGAUGAACGCCGGCGGCGUGGAUAAGGCAUGCAAGUCGAACGAUAUAGUGGCAAACGGGAGAGGAAGACAGUGGUAAUUUUCCCCGAAGAUGAGGAUAACCCCGAGAAAUUGGGGCUAAUACUCAAUAGUCAUGGGGGGACGUAAGUCAUUCCCAUGUAAACGAUUUUUCGCUUCGGGAGAAGCCUUUGGCCUAUCAGCUUGUUGGUGUGGUAACGGCACACCAAGGCAACGACGGGUAGGGGGUGUGAGAGCAUGACCCCCCUCACUGGGACUGAGACACUGCCCAGACACCUACGGGUGGCUGCAGUCGAGAAUCUUCCCCAAUGGGCGAAAGCCUGAGGGAGCGACGCCGCGUGCAGGAAGAAGCUCUUCGGAGUGUAAACUGCUUUUCUAUGGGAGAAAUUAGUGAUGUUACCAUAGGAAUAAGGGGCUGCUAACUUCGUGCCAGCAGCAGCGGUAAUACGAAGGCCCCAAGCGUUAUCCGGAUUUAUUGGGCGUAAAGAGCUCACAGGUGGUUUGGUAAGUCUGGCAUGAAAGCCCGAAGCUUAACUUCGGAAGCAUGUUUGAAACUACCAAACUUGAGGAUGGAAGGGGUAAGCGGAAUUGCUGGUGUAGCAGUAAAAUGCGUUAAUAUCAGCAAGAACACCAAUGGCGAAGGCAGCUUACUAGAACAUUCCUGACACUACAGAGCGAAAGCGUGGGGAGCGAACGGGAUUAGAUACCCCGGUAGUCCACGCUGUAAACGAUGGAUGCUAGAUAUCAGAGGAGUCGAUCCUUUUGGUAUCUGAAGCUAACGCGUUAAGCAUCCCGCCUGGGGAGUACGGUCGCAAGACUAAAACUCAAAGGAAUUGACGGGGACCCGCACAAGCGGUGGAGCACGCGGUUUAAUUCGAUAACGAGCGGAGAACCUUACCAGGACUUGACAUCUCGGGAAAGUUCCAGAAAUGGAACUGUGCCUUCGGGAACCCGAUGACAGGUGAUGCAUGGUUGCCGUCAGCUCGUGCUGUGAAGUGUACCCUUAAGUGGGGUAACGAGCGCAACCCUUACACUAUGUUAAAUAUUCAUAGUGGACUGCCGGCGAUAAGCCGGAGGAAGGUGAGGAUGACGUCAAAUCAGCAUGUCCCUUAUGUCCUGGGCGACACGCAUGCUACAAUGGGUGUAAACAAAGGGAAGCCAAGCCGUAAGGCGGAGCAAAUCCCAUAAAUACACCCCCAGUUCGGAUUGAGGGCUGAAAUUCGCCCUCAUGAAGUUGGAAUCGCUAGUAACCGUAUAUCAGCCAUGGUACGGUGAAUACGUUCUCGGGUCUUGUACACACCGCCCGUCACACCAGGGAAGCCGGCAAUACCCGAAGGUCCGCAAGUAAUGCGGAACGAAGGUAGGGCUGGUAACAAAGGUGAAGUCGUAACAAGGCAUCCGUAGCGGAAGCUGUGGAUGGAUCACCUCCUUU